rnacentral:lncRNA from 1 species
AGGAUCAGCAUGACUGUAGUGUUCCUGGCUUAACCCUGAGAGGUUGCUGUUCCCAGUGACUAUCUAGGCUGAAGCCCAUGUAGGAUUUGAAGAGACUGAUCCAGGCUUUAUGAGUGGCUGCGACCAUGCUGUAUGUGUGUAUGUGUGUGUGUACACCGCCUAAGUGUGUUCAUUUCAGCCACAGCAAGAGUUAUGUUACAAGGAUAGCAUAGACAGCCCUGCCUAUUGCAAGAGUAAUGCAUCAGGUGUGAAACAGAUCUUUAAUGCUGUGUGAAGCAGGCUCUUUUAAGGUCCAAUUAGUAUGGUGUCACCAAUAUAUGGAUCCAUGCGAUUGAUUAUCUGUGGAGUGUCCGGAUGGUCCAGGACCCUUCAGAUUAUAUUACGAUGGAGAACAGGAAAAUUAACCAAAACCUGGGCAAGACUGCGAAUGUGUGCUACUAUCCAUCCCAGUUCUGGAGGCCGGAGUUGGAAAUCAGUUUCACUGGGCACACAUGGAGGUGUUUGAAGGGCUGCCCGUGCCAGAGGCUCUCAGGGAGAAUCCCUUCCUUGUCUGUUCCAGCUCUACCUCCUCCUCUGCUGUGUGAGUAAAACCUCCCUCGGCCUCUUUGAUUAGGAUAAGGUGUAUUUAGUGUCUAGCAGGACAAUCCAGGAAAUUCUUCCCAUCUCAAGAUCCCUAACUUGAUCCCUUCUGCAAAGACCUGCUUUCACUCCCAUCUGCAAACACCAUUUCCGGGUUCCAGGGAUAAGCCCUGACAUCUGUGGGUGGCCGUUAUUCAGUUACCGACAGUGUGGCAUGAUGAAAAUGAAGUGUUAAAACAAGGACUGCAGUAUUGUUUAUUCCAGCAAAUGGUGAGUGGUCCAUCCUUCUCCAAGCCCUUUCUCUUCUUCUUCUCAUGGUCUCUGGCAUCUGGGAGAGUCCACGUGGCCUGGGUUGGGCUAACAGAUACCAGCAGAAGUGAUGCGUACAACUUCCGGCAACCUAGGUGCACUUGUCUCGCCCUCCCUGGGAGCAGAUCCAUCCUCAAACCUGCAGACAAGGAUAAUGCUGUAGUGGGUACUGAGAAAAAAAAAAAAAAAAAAAAGAAGGAACCUAAAGGAAAUGUUGGAGCAGAAAUACAUUUCUAUCUUAUUCAAGCUGGUAUAUUUUGGACUUCUGUUGCUACAACAGUUUCAUCUUUAUCCUAACGAAUACCCAUACAUGUAUUAGUAAAAAUAUAAAGGUGUCCAGGGAAUAAUGUCAGACUGAGGAGAAUGGGGCUUGGGGGAAGACGGGUGGCAAGAGGAUGUGUAAGGAAUACACAGUUGUAUCUGCAAAAUGUUUUCACUCUUAAGUUCAGUGGCAAACUAACGGAUGUUCUUUAUAUUAUUCUCUAUGCUUUUUUCAAUAUCUGAUUUAUUUUGCUUUAAAAAUCUAUACUAAUAGUGGAUGAGAAAAUAAAUGUCAUAGAAGGGGUAAAUGAUAACAAAUUAUUUGGAUAAAUCACAGAUAAAAGGCUGUUUGACUGCACUGAGCUUUUUCUGGAACACUGCUUGCUUCAUAGGACGAUAAUAAGAAUGAAUCAUGUGUAUUAGAUUUCUUCCCAGGGUGAUCAAGGGUGAGAAUUUGCCCUGCGGGGAAUAAUGUGCUCUAAAUCCAUAUAUUUCCUAUACUUUUAGAUACAAAGACAAAGAAACAGGCAAAGAAACAUCUCUGACAUCAAGAUCAGGAAGUCACAGAGAGUACUUGAGUACACAUUCAGAAGUUUCAAGGAUUUUCUGUUCGUUUAUUAAACCUUAACAUUUGCUGUACAAGUUUUCAACAGGCCAAGGUUAAGUGAAGAAUGAAAAUAAUGUUUAACUCCAUUACAAAAGAGGAGGCUUUUGAUACAGACUUCAUAAUGUUCUUUGAGGAAGCAGGUAUAUGAGGUUUGUACAUUGAAUGGAUGUUCUAGAUUGAGCAAAAUACCCUCUAUGCACUCUCCUGCAGAGAGUGUGGGUGAAAUAGAAAUGUAUUUCUGGAUAGAAAGAGCAAUGUAUCACAUGCAUUCUGAAGAAGUCUAGCUGAGCAAAACCUUAAGAUUUCCUGUUGUUGCUGGACCGUAGACAUCAAUAUGACCGCUUAGCAUAAAGAUAAAGGUACCUCAGGGCCCAAGAAUAAAAAUUCCAUCGAGCACAACUCAGCGCUCUGAAAAUCUAGAUUUCCCUAAUCCCAGAGGGUGAGAGCCAAGGAGGAGCUCGUCCUGCCCAUUCCUGCCUUCCUCUAUCCCUGGCACUCACACCACAAGUUUGCUCUACUCUUAAACAAAAGCACCUGUGUUUUAAAAUUUUCAUUUUAAGUUCUGGGGUACAUGUGUAGGACAUGCAGGUUUGUUACAUAGGUAAACUUGUGCCAUGGUGGUUUGCUGCACCCAUCAACCCAUCACCUAGGUAUUAAACCGCACAUGCAUUAGCCAUUUGUCCUAAUGCUCUCCCUCCUGCCAACCCCCCACCCCCGACAGGUCCCAGUGUGUGUUGUUCCCCUCCCUGUGUCCAUGUGUUCUUACUGUUCAGCUCCCACUUAUGAGUGAGAACAUGCAGUGUUUGGUUUUCUGUUCCUGUGUUAGUUUGCUGAGGGUGAUGCCUUCCAGCUCCAUCCAUGUUCCUGCAAAGGACAUGAUCUCAUUCUUUUUUAUGGCUGCAUAGUAUUCCAUGGUAUAUAUGCAUCACAUUUUCUUUAUUCAUUCUAUCAUUGAUGGGCAUUUGGGUUGGUUCCAUGUCUUUGCUAUAGUGAAGAGUGCUACAAUGAACAUACACCUAUUUUUUUUUAACCCACAUUAUUUAUAGUCUUGUUUUCAGUAUUUUGGUAGGCAGUGCCUGGUCUGCUCCUCUCCUCCCUUCUCUGAGUUGCCCUUUUCCUCAAUUCUCUUUUACCAACUUUCCUUUUGCGAUCGUCUCUACUCUCCUUUUCUCUAUACUUCCCCUUCUUUUUCUCUUGGCCUCGACUUCUGAAUCCUGUGACAAUGGCGUGGGGGGUUUGGUGGAGAGAGGGGAACUAAAAGUGGAAAUGAGACACUGGGGAAUAAUCACAAGAAAGGAAACAAGACUUCCCAACUCUCCCCGGCUGUGAGCCCCACGACAUGGUUUCCACAUGAGCCUUCUCCCCACUUUUGGCUGCCUCCCUGACACGUUUCCAAGGAGACCUUUCCAAGUCAAGGCCGCAGCUCCCAAAGUAUUGAAGCACAAACCCAGCCCACUUCCAAUAAAUCAUCCUCUACAUACAGUUGUCUGGUUUGUAUCAGAAUGUCCUUGGGAUUCCUGUAAUGCUUGUCUCCAGAGUCACUUAGCCAGCAUUUUGGCUAGUUUUUGUUUUUGUUUUUUUUUUUCUGAUACUCUGGUUGCAUAAAGUUAAACAGGGUUUGCAAAAUGUAAUUUCAUUAUAUGAACAACAAGUUCUAUACACUGAUGAAUAACUUGGUUUUAUGUGGGCACUUAAUUCCCAGUCUAGUGCUAAGUCUUUAUCUUAAUUUUAACUUUUAAGGCAAACAAUGCAAGGCAUCAUCUUUUGAGUGGGAAAGAGGAAAAGCAUUUUAAUGAAUGAGUUCUUGGUUGGGCGCAGUGGCUCACUCCUGUAAUCCCAGCACUUUUGGAGACUGAGGCAGGAGGAUCGCUUGAGCUCGGGAGUUCAAGACCAGCCUGGGAAACAUGGUGAAACCCCGCCUCUACACAAAAAUUAAAAAAUUAGCCGGGGAGGGGGAUUGAUUGUGUGCAUUUGCAGCUGAGCUGCAGUGAGUCCCAGCUACUCGGGAGGCUGAGGGGGGAAGAUUGUUUGAGCCUAGGAGGGUGAGGCUGCAGUGACUUAUGAUCCUGCCACUGCACUCCAGCCUGGGCAAUAGAGUGAGACUCUCCAAAAAAAGAAAAAUAGAAUGAAUAAUGAAUGAGUUCUUGAAAGGAGAGAUGUAGCUGGGCACAGUGGCUCACAUGCUUGUAAUCCCAGCACUUUGGGAGGAUAAAGCAUGUGCAUCACCUGAGGUCAGGCAUGGUGGCGGGUGCCUGUAAUCCCAGCUACUUGGGAGGCUGAGGCAGGAGAAUUGCUUGAACCCAGGAGGCUGAGGUUGCAGUGAGCCGAGAUCACACCACUGCACUCCGGCCUGGGUUACAAGAGUGAAACUCUGCCAAAAAGAAAGAAAGAAAGAGAGAGACAGAGACAGAGAGAGAGAGAAAAGAAGGAAGGAAGGAAGGAAGGAAGGAAGGAAGGAAGGUAGGAAGGAAGGGAGAGAGAGAGAGAAAGAAAGAAAGGAGAGAUGUGAAAAAUAUGUUUAAGAAUUUCUCAUACAUUCAUGUCUGAAAGGAAUCAUUUUAUUCAUCCCUCUUUCAUGGAUGAAGACAUUGAGGCCCAGGUGUGGUAAAAUUUGCCCGAAGUAGCCCGUGAGUCCGUGAGAUGUCCUGCUCCCAUCUGGAGAGGAGGAGACACGCACAGCCGUCUCCACCACAAGCCGGAUUCCAGACACUGAUCCUGCCACCACCACCCCAGUCUUCUGUCUGUCCCUCUCAGCAUGGCAGUCAUGUACCCUGGCACAAUUUCUGUGAAAAUCCCCUAAACCAAGCUUGUCUAACCUGUGACCCACAGGCCGCAUGCAGCCCAGGAUGGCUUUGAAUGCAGCUGAACACACAUUUGUAAACUUUCCUAAAACAUGAAUUUUUUCGCAUUUAUUUUUUCUUAUCGGCUUUCAUUAGUGUUAGUGUAUUUUGAGUGUGACCCAAGACAAUUCUUCUUCUUCCAAUGUGGCCAGGGAAGCCAAAAGAUUGGACACCCCUGCCCUAACCCCACAAGGUACCAGGGCACCCCGUACUUAGUGCCUUCUAAUGCCUAUGGCCCACGUGGUACUUUGGGGCUGUUUACUUGCCAGCCUCACACUCUGAACUGUGAAUUCUUUGUGGACAGGGUUUUUCUUUCGCUUGAAUUGCAUGAUGUAGGGCUCCCCAUAGGGCCUGGCACCUCACAGAUGCUGACUAUAUAUUUGUUGAAGGCUUGGAUCCAGGUUCUCUGACCUCCCAGAGCAGGGCCCUUGCCUUUAUGCCAGGAACCUGCAAAACAGUGCCCUUUUAUUGCAGAUAGUGCUUUCUUUCUCCUGGGUGGUUUCGUAGGCAAAGAGAUAUAUUGUCUGUUUUAGAGCUUUAGCCUUGCCUCAGUAGAGAUAAAAACUCCACUAUGACUCUGCUGUGGCUACGGGCAGCUUAGAGAAUGUUGGAACUUCAGGCAGAGGGCUCCGGGCAGCUGAAUGUUACAUGGUGUUCACAUACUACAUACUACAUGCUACAUAUUCCAUGCUACUACUUAAAUAACUUAAAAAUGUUAUUCUAGGUCGGGCAUGGUGGCUCACGCCUGUAAUGCCAGCAUUUUGGGAGGCCAAGGCAGGCGGAUCACCUGAGGUCAGGAGUUCGAGACCAGCCUGGACAACAUGAUGAAACCCCGUCUCUACUAAAAAUACAAAAUUACCUAGGAGUGGUGGAGGGCUCCUGUAAUCCCAGCUACCUGGGAGGCUGAGGCAGGAGAAUCGCUUGAACCUGGGAGGCGGAGGUUGCAGUGAGCCGAGACGGUGCCAUUGCACUCCAGCCUGGGCAACAAGAGUGAAACUCUGUCUCAAAAAAAAAAAUGUUAUUCUACUUGGUAGGACACUGGAAAUCGUCUGAUAUUUUCUGGCAUUCUGGCAUUUUAUCUAUGUCAGCUACUUAUCCUAAAUUAUGAUGUCAAUGGAAUAAUUUUUGAUGAAAUUUAUUUAUUUUUUUAUGAGACAGCGUCUUGCUCUGUCACUGAGACUGGAGUGCAGUGGCACAAUCUUGGCUCACUGCGACCUCCGCCUCUCAGGUUCAAGCAAUUCUCCUGCCUCAGCCUCCUGAGUAGCUGGGACUACAGGCAUGCACCACCACGCCCAGCUAAUAUUUGUAUUUUUAGUAGAGAUGGGGUUUCACCAUGUUGGCCAGGAUGAUCUCAAUCUCUUGAACUCGUGAUCCACCCUCCUCGGUCUCCCAAAGUGCUGGGAUUACAGGCGUGAGCCACCACAACCGGCUGGUGAAAUGUAUUAUUAAAGUGGCUUCUUAUCCUUCCUAGUUUUUAAAUGUCUCUGUGUAGUAUUUUACUGUGUUUAGGUUCCUCAAAACAUUUUAGAACCUGACAAUUCCUCCGCAAUUAUCUAAGCUUCCUGUAUGCAGGAGGAAACUGAGGCACGGGACGCUUCAGGGUCGGCUGUGUCUGUGCCCACUGGCCCAGCCCGCCUGCUGUCUGUUCUGCCUCCUGCCUCUGCUCUCCCCAGCACCGACACUGCUGGCCAUGUGUCAGUCAACCUGGGACUCUGCGUUCUAAUUAUUGCAAAUUAGUAAUCUACAUGGAAUGCCACGCCUAACUAUAUCAAUGUUAUCAAUGUGUUCUAUGUGUAAUUAUUAAGAACGUCUCAUUUUUUCCUUCCUCCCUCCCUCCCUCCCUCCCUCCCUCCCUCCCUCCCUCCCUCCCUCCCUUCCUUCCUUCCUUCCUUCCUUCCUUCCUCCCUCCCUUCCUCCCUCCCUCCCUUUUUGAGACUGGGUCUCUCUCUGUCACCCAGCCUGGAGUGCAAUGGCUUGAUCAUAACUCACUGUAACCUCGAGCUCUUGGGCUCAAGUGAUUCUCCCACCUUGGUCUCCCAAGUAGCUGGGACUACAAGUGUGCACUGCCACACUGGGCUAAUAUUUUUUACUUUGUCGUGGAGACAGAGUCUCGCCAUGUUACCCAUCCUGCUGGGCUCAAGGGAGCCUCUCGUCUCGGCCUCCUAAAGUGCUGGGUUUACAGGCAUGAGGCACCACACUCAGCCGGAAUAUGUUAUUUUCCGUCUGGCUUAGGUAAGACAGUAAUUACUUAUUUUGCUGUUUGUUUUUUCAGGGCUGUAGUACUGGGCUACCUUUAUUCCAAAAACAAUAAAAAGGCAACUAUGACAAUACAGCAAUCCAUGGCUUAUUCUCUUCAAUGUAACUGACUGUGAAUGAGUCUCCACCACAUUCAAUGCGCUGUGAUGGCUCCUUAGAGCUACAGAAGUGGCUGGAAGGGGAUUUUAUUGUUGACAAAGCGGCUAAUCAGCUCUCUUUGCCCUUCCCCACGGUACUACCAUUCAGCUCAUGGCAUGAAGCUAAUUUUUCCAAAACAAAAUGAAAGAUACCACCUAAAAGUGAGAGGACGUAUUGUAGUAGAGGAAGGGCUGGCUGGGCACCUAUCAUCUAUGCCCCCCAGCCUGGAGGGGUGUUUAAGGUUUGAAACGUGCCACACUCAUGGAAUACUGCACUUGCAGCCGGUUCACCGAAGCCAAGUUUUCCCACUUGUCCUUGAAGUUAAAAUUCAAUGAAAGCAUUCUCGUUGUAUCAGAGUCACAUUUUCUUUUUUCUUUUCUUUUAUAUAUAUAUAUUAUAUAUAUAUAUAAAAUAUAUAUAUAUUUUAUUAUUAUACUUUAAGUUCUAGGGUACAUGUGCACAACGUGCAGAUUUGUUACAUAUGUAUACAUGUGCCAUGUUGGUGUGCUGCACCCAUUAACUCGUCAUUUACAUUAGGUAUUUCUCCUAAUGCUCUCCCUCCCCCAUCUCCCCACCCCACAACAGGCCCUGGUGUGUGAUGUUCCCCUUCCUGUGUCCAAGUGUUCUCAUUGUUCAAUUCCCACAUGGAUGAAGCUGGAAACCAUCAUUCUCAGCAAACUAUCGCAAGGACAAAAAACCAGAGUCACAUUUUCAGUGGGGAGCCAGCUUAGCCAGGUGACGUCUGACGUCACCGAAUAAUCAAAAUGGUGACAAUUGCAUUUAGCUGGUCACAGAGAUAGAUCCCUAAGGUUAUGUCAAUACCACUCCAUGUUCUCAAAGCCCCCAAGAGGCAAGAAUCUAAGUGAAAUAAACCAGCAAGUCCUUGUCUGGACUUGCAGGAGAGAACUGAGGGGCUGCCUGAGGCUCUGUGUUCAGCGCCUCACCUCGGAUGAUCUUAGGAUGGUGAGGGUCAGUGACACUGCAAGCCAUGAGUCCUUUGGCAGUGGGUCCGUGGCCCUGCUGAAUGGCAGGCGCAUGGCCACCUUCCUGAAGAUUGCAAAUUGGAAACAGGGCGAGUCUCCACGAUAACAUCUAGGUUACAGCAUUGUAAAAUGUCCCCAAUUAUCUUGACAAAUGGAAGUUGGUGUGAAUGACUUAUGAGGACACGAUAUUUUUGUAGAGAAGGGAGAGUUCCAGCAAUAGGAACGAGCUGUGCCUUGCUCUUGGGAAACCCCACCCUGUUUUGGGGGCCUUAGGUUGCUAUGAAAUGGCAGGGUUUGAUUGCUGUUGAUAGCAGGAAAGUCUGACCCAUGACUAAGGGAAUAAAGUAGAGAAAACGCAAUAAGCAGCCAUCCCAGAAAACCAGUGCUCAUAAAAGUGCUUGUUACUGGACACUGAUUUUGGCUUCACAUUGACUACAAGUGGACCUAAACCAGUCAGUAAAAUGGUGUUAGCUGCUUUGUUGUUUCAUGUAUUUAUUCGAUACAUAUUUAUUGAAUGCAUAUUGUGUGAAGCGUUGUUCUAAACUCUGGCUAUAACAAAGUAGAAAAAGGAAAAUCCCUGAUCUCACUGAGUUUGCUAAAUAAAUAUAAAUUCAUUUUGACCUUUGCAUAUUUCUAUGUGAGUCUAGCAAGUGGUCCUGGGAUGGAAUGAAGUACAACAUGGAUAUGGCACAUCAGUUUAUAUCCUGCAGACUCAAGGAUUAGAGAACUCUCUAAAAUAUAUCCGGAGUACCACUGAAAGCUACACAUCUGUUUUUUUGGUAAAUUCAAAUCAAGUUACAAUACUCUUUAUACAAUGUGAUCUCAUUUUGCUAACCUAUAUAUACACAGAGGGGAAAAAAAGCACCCAAAGGCUGUACACUUAAAUUUUUAAAGCUGCCAUGGGAUAAUGGGGACAUUUUAUUUUUCUCUUUGGGUUUGUCUCUGUUUUCCAAGUUUAAUAUGCUGAAUGGGCUUUGCUUUUAACCAGAAAACACUCUUUAAAGACUGUAGUUUUUGCUUAUUAAUUAAAAAUGGUAUUUAGCAUUUGCAAAUAAUUUCAGGAUUAUUACUUAUUCCUUGCCAGUUCCCUCAAAUAUUAGAUAAGUAAGGUGACCCUGAUUUGCUGGUUCAUGUACUAGAACCAUGAACAGAACUGGAAUUCACAAGCUUAAAAAUUUUAGGCUGCCCACGUGAUUCAUUCAACUGCAUUCUUCCCAUAUGAGCAAAAUGAAUGCUAACUCCCUUCUGUGGGUUUGGCCUCUUGCAAAAGCAGGGCACUGUGCAAGGGUUGGGGUUUAAGUCAUUUAUUUGGGAAGUGAUCCUGACAAGUACAGUGAAGGAGUGGGAAGGAAGGUGGGAAGGAAAGCAAGGAAGAGAGGGUUUCCACUCUGAGCCACUGGGCGCAGUCCUGCUGUGGAGCAAAUAUGCAGAGAGUAUCUGACAAUUGUCUCCCCGCAGCAGGGAAGCUGAGACAUUAUAUAUCCACCAACCUCCGUCCCUUGUUGGUUGGGGGCUGCUCCUAUUAAUUCCUUAGCAUUUCCUGCAUGUCCCAUGUGCAGGAUAAGCAAUCUGCUGUGGUCAGAGAAAGACCUAUGGUAUAUAAGAAUUUGACAUCAUAAUAGAAAUAGGCAUCUAUCCAAAGCCUCAUUUAUUUCAGAAAAAAAGAAAAAAAAAAAACAACACGGAGUGAUGAUUGCCUAUCAGGUACAUGAAACCGUGAACCAUGACCAUGUUAAAUGGAGAACCCUACCACAGGGAGAGACCCAGUCCUUGAGAAGGGCCUUCAGCCGCACACUGAAGCUGCAGGAGACCUGUCAGGCGAACUAAGGAGACACGAGUUAGAGACGCUGCUGUAACAAAUACGUCUAAAGGCUGGGUGAAGUGGCUCACACCUGUAAUGCCAGUGCUUUGGGAGACCGAGGUGAGCCGAUCACUUGAGGUCAGGAGUUUGAGUCCAGUUGGCCAACAUGGUGAAACCCCAUCUCUACUAAAAAUACAAAGAUUAGCCUGGUGUGGUGGCAGGCGCCUGUAAUCCCAGCUUCUCAGGAGGCUGAGGCAGAAGAAUCACUUGAACCCGGGAGGCAGAGGUUGCAGUGAGCUGAGGUCGUGCCACUGUACUGCAGCCUGUGCAACAGAGCGAGACUCUGUCUCACAACAAAACAAACCUCUAAAGUUGCAGUGGCUUAACAUCAUCACAGUUUCUUUUUUGCUCUUAUAAACUGUUUUUCAGGUCACGCAAUUUUGCAAGACAGCUCUUCCUCAAAUUUUGUCUGUGUUCUCCUAUCUCAGGGCCCUCUGCUUCUUAGUCAGACAGGGAAAAGAGGUUGUGGAAGGAUUUGGGUUUAAGUCAUUUAAAGGAUGGGGACACAGUGUGGGAUAUUGUGUGGCCCAGCCAGUAGUGAGGAUGCCACGUAGACACAUAUUCCAUUUCCCAAAGCUGAUUCAUGAGUCUGCAACUAACUGCACAGGAAGUCUGGCCUUCCCACAUGCUCAGGGAGAGAAGGAAGUUGGGGAUCCUGUAGCAGUACUCUGAGGGGCUCCCUGUUUCCUUGUCUGAAUGCAUGGAAGCUCUGGGAACAUCUGGUACUUACUGGAUACUAUAUUGUUUAGCAAAUGAGUUUGAGGCCGGGCGCGGUGGCUCACGCCUGUAAUCCCAGCACUUUGGGAGGCCGAGGUAGGCGGAUCAUGAGGUCAGGAGAUCGAGACUAUCGUGGCUAACAUGGUGAAACCCCCCUCUACUAAAAAUACAAAAAAAUAGCCGGGCAUGGUGGUGGGUGCCUAUAGUCUCAGCUACUUGGGAUGCUGAGGCAGGAGAAUCGCUUGAACUCAGAGGCAGAGGUUGCUGUGAGCCGAGAUAGCACCACUGCACUCCAGCCUGGGCGACAGAGCAAGGCUCCAUCUCAAAAAAAAAAAAAAAAAAAAGUAAAUAAAUAAAAAGAGAGUUUGAGUUUUUUAUGUAGCCGACUUCAGGUGCAAAUGGUUCAUAUUGAGGCACACAGAAGAGACACCAUGGUACACAGCAGCACUUGCUUCCGGCUGAGAAUCAGAACAACCAAGACCAAAUUCUGGACCCGCUCUCAACCGAAUAUGUGAUUAGGCACACGAUAGCCUCUUGAUCUGAAAAAUACUAAAGUCUCUUUUAUCAGAGCCCACAAUUGUUAAAUAUUUUUAAAAGAAUAUAUAUUUUUACAUGUAUAUAUACAUACACAACAUGCAUGGCAGCGUAAGAAGCUACACGCAUAUAACAAGGCCAGGUGCAGUUAGAAAUGGAACUAGGAUGUGCACUUCUGAGCAUUCUGUUGUCUUGUUGAACUCCUCUUUCUGUCUAUCAAUCUUUCCAUUAUCUUUCUCCCGCCUCGGAAAAGCAGUGCAUUAGCGCCGUGGAUCUCUGGCUGGCCAGGCAGGUGUGUGUCGUCAGGGGUGAGUGGGUGCUGGCAGCAGCUGUGGGUGAAAUCCCAUUCUAGGUAGACUGGGGUAGAGGAAACAACACAGGUCUUGUUGUGAAAUCCAAAGAAAUCGCAGUCCUGUAGUCAAUCUUGUCUCACCCGCAGGCCAUAAGCGUUUCUGAGUUCUACUCUUUCUAGGGCGAGAGGGGCUUUUGGCUGUUUAGUAGACACCGGAGACCAGUAAAGCGCAUACCGAUUAGAAGGCUGCAUUUUCUAGCUAACAAAACAGCACACGGGGCCAAAGAACAGGGAAGUCUUGUUUCAGCAAGGUUGGCACAGUCAAAGAAGUAGAGUGAAGGACCAUGAUUUCAGGAAACUCAGCUGAAAGAAUUGGAGAUUGUUAUAGAAACUGCUAUCCAUCCACAGCCUUAUUUAUUUCAGAAAAAAAGACUGGAUGAUGGUUUCCUAUCAGGUACAUAAAACAAAGGCCAUGUUAAAUGGUUUCGGUGACUUUUUUUAUUCUUCCUUUACGUAUUCAUUUUUCUGAGAUGUGCUGAUUUACUGGUCACAGAUCAGAAUUUAUGUUAGACAUGGGGUCACCUCUCCUGGCUGCUUCUAUCUGGUCAGAGGAAGCCUAUUAGGUCCAGCCAGCCCUCAAGAAGGGCUGCCAUGUGUUCACCUGGAUUGUUCUGAGAAACUGUUGAUAAAACAAUGACCCAUUGGACUCCUAUCUCCAGAGACACUGUUUUCUGAAUUAAAGCAAUAAUAGUGGAAACUAAGUUUCUAUCUUUUAGGCAUCGCAAAUGACUGAAAUAUGCAAUGAUUUCCCAUAACUAAACAAGAGGUCAUGAGCUCCAAUGAGGAAUAAAAAGCUGAGAUAGAUGUAGCAUGUGCUAAGUGCUCUUCUAGACAUUUUACAUACGUCAACUCAUUAUUUCUCCCAACUGCACUACAGGUAGGCACUAUUAUCGUUCCCAUUUCAUAGAAAUGUAAACAGGUGAGACCAGGUAAUUUUCCUGGAGGAACUACUUGAUCUUCCUAUAUUAAUAAAUUGCCAUUUCAUGUUAUUGCGUUGAAAAGAGCACUACCUAAAACAGAAUGAUGAUUUUUUUUUUCACCAAAGCAUUGAAAAGUUUGGAGUCAUGAAAUUUGAUCAAAAGUAUACAGAGACUCUAGUCAGAUCACACUGGUUGAUAUACGGGAAGACUUUUUGUUUACUCUUUUAAUCAACAAAUAUAAUAAUUAUCUACCCUGUACUGGCAUCUGAGCUGCAAGGAUGAAUAUGCUUCAAGGAGCUGUUAGGCAGUGGGGAAAAAGAAGAUCUGCAAAUGUACCCUUAUGGCUGGGUGUGGUGGCUCACACACCUGUUACCCCUGCACCCUGCAUUUUGGGAGGCUAGUGGGGAAGAUCGCCUGAGCCCAGGAGUUUGAGACCAGCCUGGGCAACAUAGUGAGACUUCAUCUCUAUUAUUUAUUUACCGUGAAAUAGAAUAAAAGCUACACAUAAAAUAUGUGGAAGUAGGGAAGGGCAAAGUGGAAGAUUGAUAGUAAUAGCUGGGACUUAUCACUUCUUCUGGGUUAAUCCUUUCAACCCUUACAAAACCUCUAUGAUGCAGGUACUAUGAUUAUCCCAACUUAAGACACAAGGAAACUGAGGUAGCGAGAGGUUCAAUAGUAGGUCCAGGGCUCCCGGGAGAGGCAAUCCACCGUGGCCCUGAGUGUCUCUUCCUCAUCCUGCAGGUGUGCGUGCCUGAUGGCCCUUUAUCUGGGCUGUGUCUUGGGGCGGCAGCAAGCAGCCUUGAAGGAUGAGGUAGCAUUUUUCCUUCUGGACAAAGAGAAGCCUUUUUUUCACCUUAAAAAAAUUUAUUUUUAUAGAUUUGGGGAUACAUGUGCUGGUUUGUUACAUGGAUUUAUUACAUAAUGCAAGAUUUGAGUUUCUAGUGUACCCAUCACCCAAAUAGUGAACAUUAUACCCAAUAGGUAAUUUUUCAACCCUCAUCCCCCCAUCCUGCCCUCCACUCUUUUGGGUUCCUCAAUGUCAAUUAUUUACCUCUGUGUAUUCAUGUGUACCCCUUGUUUUCCUCCUACUUGUAAGCGAUAACAUUCAAUAUUUGACUUUCUGAUUCUGAGUUAUUUCAAUUAGAACAAUGGCCUUCAACUCCAUCCAUAUUGCUUCGAAAGACAUGAUCUUAAUCUUUUUUAUGGCUGCAUAGUAUUCCAUGGUGUAUAUGUUUCACAUUUUCUUUUUUUUUUUUUUAACUUUUAAGUUCGGGGUACAUGUGCAGGUUUGUUACAUUGGCAAACUUGUGCUAUGGGAGUUUGUUGUACAGAUUAUUUCAUUAAGUCUAGUACCCAUUAGUUAUUUUUCCUGAUCCUCUCCCUCCUCCAGCCUUCCACUCUCCAAUAGGCCUCAAUGUCUGUUGUUACCUCUUUGUGUCCACGUAUUCUCAUCUCUUAGCUCCUGCUUAUAAGUCAGAACAUGCAGUAUUUAAUUUUCUGUUCCUGCAUUAGUUUGCUAAGGAUAAUGGCCUCCAGCUACAGCCAUGUCCCUGCAAAGGACAUGAUCUCAUUAUUCUUUAUGGCUGCAUAGUGUUCCGUAGUGUGAAUUAUACCACAUUUUCUUUAUCCAGUCUAUUAUUGAUGGGCAUUUAUAAUUCAUUCAUUCAUCCAUGGACUUAGGUUGAUUCCACAUCUUUGCUAUUGUGAAUAGUACUGCGAUACACAUAUGAGAGGAAGUGUCUUUUUGAUACAACAAUUUGUUUUCCUUUGGGUAGAUACCCAGGGGUGAGAUUGCCAGGUUGAAUGAUAAUUCUGUUUUCAGUUCUUUGAGAAAUCUCCGCACUGUUUUCCACAGAGGUUGUACUAAUUUGGAUUCCCACCAACAGUGUAUGAGUGUUCCCCUUUCUCCGCAGGGAAGGCUUUGUAUUCCACUUAUUAUAAAAGCGGUGAUUUCCCAAGCUCAGGCUCAGGGUUCCUCUCCUGUAAGGUGACUGACUUUGUGCGCAGGCAUCCACGAGGAGCCGUCUACAUCACCACCAUAAGACUUGGGGGCACAGGGAACCAGCAACCGUGCAGCUCUGUCUACUGCUUUCGUCGUGAUUCACAAAGUCCUUUGUCUCUGACCCAGGAGUUCCAAGUCUUCUGCCAGCCCCUGUGAAACAGCAACAGUGAACUAGAUAGCUUGUAUGUGACAUAAAAUCUCAAUCUCUGCACAGUUCUUGACAAGGUGACAUAGCCAGUAAGUGGUGGGAACUGACUUUGAACCUGGACAGUUUGGCUUAGAAACCCACCAUCUUAAACACUACUAAUAAGGCAUCAAAGAUAGGCAACAAACUUCCUGGCAGAGUAAAGGCAGAUUUUUAAAGGCAAUGGGGUGUUUGGAGGGAAUUUUGAAGCAUGAAUGGGGAUUUAACAGAAGAAUAAGGGAGAAAGGACAUUCUAGGUAGAGGGAGUGAGGUGGACAAAGGCUGGAAGCCAGGAAGCACACAGAUGUUCUGGACACUGCACGAAGGGAGUCGUAAGACUGCAGUGCCCAGCAGAAUUUUGCUGGCUUCUGGGGUGAGAGAUGAGGUUGGAGAGACAGGCAGAGGCCAGAAAAUAAGAUGGGUGCGUGCGCCCAAUUAGUUUGUAGAAAGGCUUUUAAGAAUUAUAUUAUAGUCAAGUGGCUGGGUGCAGUGGCUCACACCUGUAAUCCCAGCACUUUGGGAGGCUGAGGCAGGUGGAUCACUUGAGGUCAGGAGAUCAAGACCAGCCUGGUCAACAUGGCGAAACCCCAUCUCUACUAAAAAUACAAAAAUUAGCCAGGUAUGAUGGCAGGCGCCUGUAAUCCCAACUACUUGGGAGGCUGAGGCAGGAGAAUCGCUCCAACCCAAAAGGCAGAGAUGGGUUCAAGCCAUUCUACAGCCUGGGCGACAGAGUGAGUCUCUGUUUCAUUAAAAACAAACAAACAAAAAAUAUAGGCAAGAAAGUGACACUAUCAGAUUUGUGUUUUUGAAAGAUCCCUUGGGAAUGUUGUGCAAGACGGAUUGGAGAAGUCAGGGAGAUCAAGUUAGAAGCAAGUGAAGUGAUCAAGUAAGAUGUAAUGAGGGCCUGAACUUUGUAGCAUGUACAGUUUAAAUGCUGAUAUUUUAAUUUAAUGCAUAAUGAUAGCAGUAAUUAGCUUGCAAUUACUCCAGCCGGAGACGUUGUAUUUUUAAUUCCCAAAUCUUGAUCUUUCUACUUUAUACAAGAAAUAGGAGAAGGUCAACUGAGUAAAGGGAUCUUAUUUCUUUCAAUUUAGACAGGAGAGACGAAUGAGGAGAAGCUGGGUCUCUGCCACCCUAAGACUGAAGUAAGCACACAUGACACUAAGAAAGAGACUCUAUCUUUCUUCAUUAUGGCAAAGAAGAAUGGAAAAUGCUCACAGGAAUUCCCAUCCAAAGCAGAGAUUCUCGAUCAUUUCUGAGCUCAGCCUUCUUGGACAGAGUAUCAUAUCCCAUAAGCACACAUAAGUUGCUUUUUCUUCUUCUCUCUUUUUUUUUUUUUUGAUGGAGUUUCGCUUUUUUGCUUUUGUUGCCCAGGCUGGAGUGCAAUGGCGUGAUCUCGGCUCACUGCAACCUCCAGCUCCAGGGUUCAAGCGAUUCUCCUGCCUCAGCCUCCCGUGUAGCUGGGAUUACAGGCAUGUGCCACCACAUCCGGCUAAUUCUUUGUAUUUUUAAUAGAGACAGGGUUUCUCCAUGUUGGUGAGGCUGGUCUUGAACUCCUGACCUCAGGUGAUCCGCCCACCUCGGUCUCCCAAAGUGCUGGGAUUACAGGCAUUCUUCUUCUCCUUUUUAAGGAAAAACUCUACUAACAACAAGAAUCAUUGUGGACACAAGCUUAGGGGUAUUGGCGAUGGUGGUGAAGACGGCGACUUUAUCCGCUUUGGUAAGGAGAUGCAGGUAUCUAUUCUUGGUUCCCAGUGUUCACAGUCUUUAAGUUUAGUUAUUGGAAAUUACAGUUCAAAGUAUUGUUGGUGAAGAUAUGCUUCACUACAUAUGGUAGGCUUAGCAAAACAAUCCACAAUAAAUAAAAUUAAUGAUAAUGAAACUAAACAAACUGUGAUUUGUUAAAAAGCAAUGAUACAGCCACUGGAAAACUUAACUUGGGCAGGAUGCCCUAAAUUGCCUAACAUCUAUUAACUCUUCCUCCUUCCUAACAGAACCCAGAGUUUAUUGAGAAAUAUAUUCUCCUCUAUACAACCAAGCCUCUUAGGAGAGGCUAGCCUAUCCCUAGCUCCAGGUGGUAGAUUCUAGUUUGCCUGAAUAAUCCAAUUCUCCUUGAUGGUGAUUGGCUUAGGAAUGGGCAGGUGACAAAAGCUCUUCUUCUGAACAUCGCAGUCUCUAAACAUAAUGCCUGGAAGUGCCUUAUCUAUCUUGCAACCUUGAGAGAUGCCAGCCUUAGGAUAAAGCUGGUGCAGAGAGGAGAAAGGGCCAAGAGGGACCCAGAGAAGCAGAGCUACCGUAACCUUGGACUUAAGUAUUGUGUAUGUGAAAAGAAGGUUUAAAAGCCAAAGGAUGGGUGCCCAUCUUUAGACCAGCUCUUGGCAGAGGGUAGAGUCUAAACAACAUUUUAAAAAGCAUUGCCCUGAGGCCAGGCAUGGUGACUCACACCUAUAAUCCCAGCACUUUGGGAGGCUGAGAUGAGUGCAUCACCUGAGUUCAGGAGCUCAAGACCAGCCUGGCCAACAUGGUGAAACACCAUCUCCACUAAAAGUACAAAAAUUAGUCAGGUGUGGUGGUGGAUGCCUGUUAUCCCAGCUACUUGGGAGGCUGAGGCAGAAGAAUCACUUGAACCUGGGAGAUGGAGGUUGCAGUGAGCCAAGAUUGCACCACUGCACUCCAGCCUGAGUGACAGAGUGAAACUGUCUCAAAACAAAAAACAAAAAACAAAAAAAAGCAUUGCCUUGAAAAUAACUGGUAACACCCCACCCCUGCAGAGUGGCUGGUGGGCAGUGUUUCCUACAGUAAGUAUUCCCAGUAAUAGAUACACUGCUAUUUGUUGAACACAAGCUAUAGAAAAAACACACUGCUAAAUGAUGACUACCAGGGGACAGGUUAUUAUAAUUAUGGCAAUUUAGAAAAGAUUCUCAUAAACUUACCUUGGCUUAAAAUGCAGAAAACAGUGAAAAGCCCUUUACUGUCCUUUUCUCAAUUCCUUUAUGUUGACUUUCACCCAGGACACCUGUCUACACUCCACGUUAAAAAUUUGGACUAUCUCAUCAAAGCCAACAAUCUGUUCUCCUUGAAUUUUUACCAACCAGUGAGUGAUAUUUCAUUCUCUCUUUGCAUUAUCACCAGAGAGAAUUUGUGAAAAUUUACAUAAUUUGAAUUGAAAGACAGCUAGUCCUCAUGUGCAAUGAGGAAACAGUUGCCUGGAGGUCUGGGACCCUGGGAAAACAUCCAGUGCUCUUUUCCUCUGUUAAACUUUCUUCUUCUCUCUUUUUAAUAUUAAAUGUUUGUGAAAUGUCCCAAAAUCUUACGUGAGAAGCCAUCCUGUCAAAAGGAAUUAUAUUGUCAGUUCUUUCUGGUUGCAAGGCAUAGAGACUUUAUCUGAUUUCAGGUGACGACUUGUCAUUUAAAAGAAAAAGAACAGAAAAUAGAGGAAUCAAGAAAGUAUAUCAGCAACUAAGCAGCCACUACUCAAGAGAAGAAAGAACAAUGGCUUCUUAUCAGUCAGAACACAGCACCAGCAUUAACGAUCCAUCAGGAACUCUGGGGACCAGACAUCUUUUUGUGCCCUCAGAAUUGGACAUCUGUCACUCCCUAUGUAUGACUGCCACACUGUGACUUUGUUUCUUUUAUAUCUGGUUUGCCCAUCUGCUGCCUCUGAAAGAUGGUUUCACUAUACACUAGUUCCCCCUUAUCUGUGGGGGAUACAUUCCAAGACCCCCAGUGGAUGCCUGAAACCACAGAUAGUACUGAACCCUACAUACAUUCUGUUGGUUUUUUUUUUAAUCCGGUAACCAAGAGAGCUACUUUGUCACUGGCAGGCAGGUAUCAUAGACUGUGAAUAUGCUAGACAAAAGGAUGACUCACAUCCCAGGCGGGAAGCAGCAGGACAGUGUGGGAUUUCAUUCUACUACUCAGAACAGCACAUAAUUUAAAAUCUAUGUAUUGUUUAUUUCUGGAAUUUUCCAUUUUAUAUUUUCAGACUGCAGUGGUCAUGGGUAACUGACACCUUGGAAAGCAAAACCGUGGAUAAAGGGAGAAUACUGUAUAUAGAAUUCUAGGUUGAUAGUGUUUAUUUUCUCUUAGCACUUUAAAGUUAUCAUUUCAUUGUCUUCUGACUUGCAUCAUUUCUGAUGGAAUGUCAGUCGUCAGUCUCAUUAUUGACACCACAUUCUUUGAUUGUUUUUACUCUUUUUUCAAACUCUGACUUAAUUGGAUAAUUUCUAUUGACCUGUGUUUAGGUUUGCUAAUGCUUUCUUUUGAAAAUUCAAACUGCUGUUAAUGUCAUCCAGUGAAUGUUUUAUCACAGACAUUGCAUUUUAUCAUCCUAGAGUUUCCAUUUUGUCUUUUUUUAGAGUUCUCUUUUCUCUUCUGACAUACCCCUAUCUCUUACCCAUUAGAUCCACAUUUUCCUAUAAAUUUGUUUAAAAUGUGUAUGAUAAUUGCUUAAAUAUUCUUGCUGCUAGUUCCAAUAACUGGGUUUAACUAUGGACCUGCUUCUAUUGACUAUGCGUUCUUUUGGUUAUUGGUGAGUAUGUCUUGUAUCUCUGCAUGCCUCAAUUUUUUUAUUGUAUCUAAGAUAUGCAUAUAAAAAUACAAUGAAGAUUGAAGUAAAUAAUGUUUUGAUGUUUUUGCCCCAGAGAAUACAAGCUCUUUCCCUCUGUCUAACAAGGAGAAGGGCUAAUUAUUCAGAUUCCUUUUAGAGUCAAAUUGGCUGAAUUUUUAAUUAAAUUGAGAUUUCCUAUGCUUAGACCAACCCUCACUCUCAUACUACUGCUAUCUUUUAGAUAUUAUCAAUAUUUGAGUAGAUGAGCUUCCGUUUUAGCUAUUUUUAACUUACUUUGGAUUCCCAGUUACAUGAGAGGCUGAGGUUGGAGGAUCACUUGAGCCCAGGAGGUUGAGGCUACAGUGAGCUGUGAUUGUGCCACUGCACUCCAGCCCGGGCAACAGAAUGAGACCCUGUCCUCCAAAAAAAAGGUCAAGGACCAUGUGAUUUUCAUAAAUAAAAAGAGGAGGUUAUUACUAUGUUAUGGAAUAGGACAUUUAGCAAAGUUUAUUACUCACUGAUUUGUAUUCAUGGCAGACCACAUCACAUUCCCUUUGAAUAUUCUUGGAAUCCAAGCACUGUGGAAGUACAUGGGUCUUUGUAGUUUUGCCCUGCAUCUUUGCCCUUUCUUCAUGGAUACUUUUUUGUCAGUUUGAGGUGGUGGUGGUGAUGUGAAAGUGAUUGGCCUAAUUUGUUUUUGCAGUUGGGAUACUCCUAUAUUGCAAUCCAUGCAUCCAGGCUGCACUAUCAUGUAUAGCUCAGCUGAUUUUUUCUCCUCCUUCCAAAUUUCUGUCUAGGCCAAACUUGCCAUGCCUAGGUCAGAAACUGUUGUUGGAAAUGGAAGCUGUCCUGGCUUUCUCUUUGCCAAUGAAGGACUCAUUUUUCCAAAAUUCAGUUCAUUAAGUCUUCUUUUGACUCCUGAUCUUUGUUAGCCCCAUGGGAAAGUAUGAUUUUUAUUUUCUCUGAGUUUUUCUUGACAUUACCAUGGGAACAAAAUGCUUUCAUGCUCUUAUGAAGUGAAAGUCUGAACCAAACAUUUAAACUUAAAAAAAAAAAAAACCCACAUAAAAUCACUAGAAGAAAAUAUGGGAGAUUUAAAAAAAAAUCUUGGGACAAAAAAAGUCAUUUCAGAGCAAUACACAAACCUCAGAAGCUAUAAAAAAAUUAAUCAACCUCUAUCUUUUUCUCCCUUUCUCUCUCUCUGUAUAUAUAUGUUAUAUAUAUAUCUAUAUAUAUAUUUAUCUUAAAUUUGGCGAGGCACGGUGACUCAUACCUGUAAUCCCAGCACUUUGGGAGGCCAAAGUGGGUGGAUCACUUGAGGUCAAGAGUUUGAGACCAGCCUGGCCAACAUGAUAAAAAUACAAAAAUUAGCUGGGCAUGGUGACAUACACCUGUAGUCCCAGUUACUCUGGAAGCUGAGGCAGGAGAAUCGCUUGAACCAGAAGGUGGAGGUUGCAGUGAGCCGAGAUUGUGCCACUGCACUCUAGCCUCGGCAACACAGUGAGACCCCAUUUCAAAA